AACACGUAAAGAACCUGCCCUCAGGUCUGGGAUAACCACGAGAAAUCGGGGCUAAUACCGGAUGGGUCAUCGGACCGCAUGGUCCGAGGAUGAAAGACGCUUCGGCGUCGCCUGGGGAUGGCUUUGCGGUGCAUUAGCUAGUUGGUGGGGUAAUGGCCCACCAAGGCGACGAUGCAUAGCCGACCUGAGAGGGUGAUCGGCCACACUGGGACUGAGACACGGCCCAGACUCCUACGGGAGGCAGCAGUAGGGAAUCUUCCACAAUGGACGAAAGUCUGAUGGAGCAACGCCGCGUGAACGAUGAAGGCCUUCGGGUCGUAAAGUUCUGUUGUAAGGGAAGAACAAGUGCCGCAGGCGAUGGCGGCACCUUGACGGUACCUUGCGAGAAAGCCACGGCUAACUACGUGCCAGCAGCCGCGGUAAUACGUAGGUGGCAAGCGUUGUCCGGAAUUAUUGGGCGUAAAGCGCGCGCAGGCGGCCUCUUAAGUCUGAUGUGAAAGCCCCCGGCUCAACCGGGGAGGGCCAUUGGAAACUGGGAGGCUUGAGUAUAGGAGAGAAGAGUGGAAUUCCACGUGUAGCGGUGAAAUGCGUAGAGAUGUGGAGG
rnacentral:rRNA from 1 species